GGGCGAUUUAUUGUGUCGGGCCUCCGAUAACCCAUCUAUUCAAUACCAAAAAUAUAUCAAUUAAAAAGCCAAAAUAUAAUUAAUUAAGAAACACCAACUAAAAAUAACACAAAAUUUAAUAAUAACAUAAACGUGAAAAACAUGAAAAAAUGUAAUAAAUUUUAAACAUUAUGAAAAACAUGAAAAAAUGUUAUUAUUCAAAUAAAUACUUAUUCUAUAUCAUACCAUACACGAAUUAUUCAAAUAAAUACGUAUUAAACAUUUUUAAUUACAAUGUACGAAAGAAAAAUUAUUGAAAUUAUUGGUUGUGUAUUUUAUAUAAUUCGUUAGUUUCAAUUUAUGCACUACCCAAUUCAAUUCUUAGGUUGGCAGUCAGAUUUAAAUUAUUGAAUUAAUUUAUUUAUUGAAAUGAUUAUAAAAUUAAACUAAAUCAAAUUAUAUACUAAGUAAUUCAAGAAAAUAACAUAAGUAAUUCAACCAAAUAGAAUUAUUAUUAUUAUUAUUAAUUCACGAAAAUAAUUAUGUACAUGUAGAGGAUCUUCUCGUUAGUUUCAAUUUAUGCACUACCCAAUUCAAUUCUUUGGUUGUGUAUUUUAUUUAAAUUAUUGAAAUGAUUUUAAAAUUAAACUAAAUCAAAUUAUAUACUAAGUAAUUCACAAAUAACAUAACUAAUUCAACCAAAAUGACUACCCAAUUCACGAACAUAAUUAAACACAAGUAAUUCGAAUUAAACAAUGUCACCAAAAUAAUUCACGAAAAUAACAUGCUUCAACUUGUUGUGGAAAAUAACAUCCUUAUUCAAGAAUUUAAAUAAAAUCAACGAAAUAGGAUACUUACUUCGUUUGAAGAAGAAGCCAUGGUAUAUGCCUUCAAGUUGAAAAAAUCGUGCAAGCCCUCCUUCAAGUUCAAAAAAUUGAUUCUCAUUCAAACAUGGGACAAACAAGAAAAACAAAGCAAAAAAAAAUAAUUCAUUCCAAUUACCUUCGGUGUAUGCAAGACGUGAAUGCUCUCCUCUCUCUCAAAAAUGGACCAGAUGCUCUUUCUCCUCUAUCUCUCUUUCUCGGCUGCCUCUCUCUCUCACUCUCUCUCAAAAAAUAAACCGAUGCCGUGAAUUCAAAUUGGAAUGCGGC
rnacentral:lncRNA from 1 species